rnacentral:ncRNA from 1 species
AGCAUGACAUAUACUGUUGUGUCGAUCUUUUCCCCUCGGACCUUGAAAAUUUAUGGCGGGCACCCGCGAACUUCUCCACAGGCCCUACCAAUAUCCGCCGCUGGUCUUCAAGGUGAAGAGUCUCUAGUCGAUAGAAUAACGUAGGUAAGGGAAGUCGGCAAAUUAGAUCCGGAACUUCGCGGAUAACGAUUGGCUCUCAAGAUUGAGAUAGUCGGGCUUGAUUGGGAAACAAUAACAUGGUUUAUGUGCUCGUUCUGGGUAAAUAGAGUUUCUAGCAUUUAUGUUAGUUACUUGUUCCCCGGAUAGUUUAGUUACGUAGCCAAUUGUGGAACUUUCUUGCUAAAAUUUUUAAGAAUACUAUUUGGGUUAAACCAAUUAGUUCUUAUCAAUUAUAACGAUUAUCAAUUAACAAUCAAUUCAGAACUGGCACGGACUUGGGGAAUCCGACUGUCUAAUUAAAACAAAGCAUUGUGAUGGCCCUAGCGGGUGUUGACACAAUGUGAUUUCUGCCCAGUGCUCUGAAUGUCAAAGUGAAGAAAUUCAAGUAAGCGCGGGUCAACGGCGGGAGUAACUAUGACUCUCUUAAGGUAGCCAAAUGCCUCGUCAUCUAAUUAGUGACGCGCAUGAAUGGAUUAACGAGAUUCCUACUGUCCCUAUCUACGCGCAUGAAUGGAUUAACGACGGACGUGUUUUCGU